UGGAUUAGGCAUGCAAGUCGAACGCUUGUAGCAAUACAGGAGUGGCGAAAGGGUGAGGAACACGUGAGUAACCUACCCUCAAGUUGGGAAUAACACCGGGAAACUGGUGCUAAUACCGAAUGUGGCUGAUGAACCGCAUGGUUUAUCAGCUAAAGAUUUAUCGCUUGAGGAGGGGCUCGCGUCCCAUUAGCUAGUUGGUGAGGUAACGGCUCACCAAGGCAACGAUGGGUAGCUGGUCUGAGAGGAUGGCCAGCCACACUGGGACUGAGACACUGCCCAGACUCCUACGGGAGGCUGCAGUCGAGAAUCUUGGGCAAUGCGCGAAAGCGUGACCCAGCAAUGCCGCGUGCAGGAUGAAGGCCUUCGGGUUGUAAACUGCUGUCACCCGGGACGAAGAAUUGACGGUACCGGGAGAGGAAGCCACGGCUAACUACGUGCCAGCAGCCGCGGUA
rnacentral:rRNA from 1 species